AUACGGAGGACGCGAGCGUUAUCCGGAUUCAUUGGGUUUAAAGGGUGCGCAGGCGGCCGUGCAAGUCAGCGGUGAAAGCCCGGGGCUCAACCCCGGAAGUGCCGUUGAUACUGCAUGGCUGGAAUGCGGUCGAGGCGGGCGGGACGUGGCGGGUAGAGGUGGAAUGCGUAGAUAUGCCACAGAACGCCGGAAGCGGAGGCGGGUCGCAGGGCCUGCAGUGACGGUGGGGCACAAAAGCGUGGGGAUCGAACAGGAUUAGAUACCCUGGUACUCCACGCCGUAAACGAGGGGCGCCCGGCGUCGGCGGCAGACAGUCGGCGGCCAAGCGAAAGCGAUAAGCGCCCCACCUGGGGAGUACGGUCGCAAGGCUGAAACUCAAAUGAAUUGACGGGG
rnacentral:rRNA from 1 species